rnacentral:rRNA from 1 species
UACGAAGGGGGCUAGCGUUGUUCGGAAUUACUGGGCGUAAAGCGUGCGCAGGCGGCUGCUCAAGUCAGGGGUGAAAGCCCAGAGCUCAACUCUGGAAUUGCCUUUGAGACUGAGUGGCUUGAGUACGGGAGAGGUGAGUGGAAUUCCCAGUGUAGAGGUGAAAUUCGUAGAUAUUGGGAAGAACACCAGUGGCGAAGGCGGCUCACUGGCCCGGUACUGACGCUCAUGCACGACAGCGUGGGGAUCAAACAGG